CAUUGAAGCACUAGUUCUUGUACAAUCACUGAAGUUAAGCAACAGUGUGCCUGAUCAGUAUUUAGAUGGGUGACUGCUUGGGAAUAGCAGGUGAUGUA